rnacentral:rRNA from 1 species
AGAGUUUGAUCCUGGCUCAGAACGAACGCUGGCGGCAUGCCUAACACAUGCAAGUCGAACGCCCCGCAAGGGGAGUGGCGCACGGGUGAGUAACGCGUGGGAACCUGCCCUGGAGUUUGGGAUAACCCGGCGAAAGCCGGGCUAAUCCGGAUACNNCCCGAGGGGGAAAGAUUUAUCGCUCUAGGAGGGGCCCGCGUCGGAUUAGCUAGUUGGUGAGGUAACGGCUCACCAAGGCGCGAUCCGUAGCUGGUCUGAGAGGAUGAUCAGCCACACUGGGACUGAGACACGGCCCAGACUCCUACGGGAGGCAGCAGUGGGGAAUAUUGGACAAUGGGGGCAACCCUGAUCCAGCAAUGCCGCGUGAGUGAUGAAGGCCUUAGGGUUGUAAAGCUCUUUCGCCCACGACGAUGAUGACGGUAGUGGGAGAAGAAGCCCCGGCUAACUUCGUGCCAGCAGCCGCGGUAAUACGAAGGGGGCGAGCGUUGUUCGGAAUUACUGGGCGUAAAGGGCGCGCAGGCGGCCCUUGAAGUCAGGCGUGAAAGCCCUGGGCUCAACCUGGGAAUUGCGCUUGAUACUCGAGGGCUUGAGUGCGGGAGAGGAGAGUGGAAUUCCCAGUGUAGAGGUGAAAUUCGUAGAUAUUGGGAAGAACACCGGUGGCGAAGGCGGCUCUCUGGACCGUAACUGACGCUGAGGCGCGAAAGCGUGGGGAGCAAACAGGAUUAGAUACCCUAGUAGUCC